GUACGGAAGGCAGCAGUGGGGAAUAUUGGACAAUGGGCGAAAGCCUGAUCCAGCAAUACCGCGUGUGUGAAGAAGGCCUGAGGGUUGUAAAGCACUUUCAAUUGGGAGGAAAACCUGCCGGCCAAUACCCGGUAGCUUGACAUUACCUUUAGAAGAAGCACCGGCUAACUCCGUGCCAGCAGCCGCGGUAAUACGGAGGGUGCAAGCGUUAAUCGGAAUUACUGGGCGUAAAGCGUGCGUAGGUGGUUUGCUAAGUCAGAUGUGAAAGCCCCGGGCUUAACCUGGGAACUGCAUUUGAAACUGGUAGACUAGAGUUGAGUAGAGGGGAGUGGAAUUUCAGGUGUAGCGGUGAAAUGCGUAGAUAUCUGAAGGAACACCAGUGGCGAAGGCGACUCCCUGGACUCAAACUGACGCUGAGGUACGAAAGCGUGGGUAGCAAACAGGAUUAGAUACCCGUGUAGUCAU
rnacentral:rRNA from 1 species